rnacentral:rRNA from 1 species
AGUGAACGCUGGCGGUAGGCCUAACACAUGCAAGUCGAACGGCAGCACAGUAAGAGCUUGCUCUUACGGGUGGCGAGUGGCGGACGGGAGAGGAAAACAUUGGAAUCUACUUUUUCGUGGGGGAUAACGUAGGGAAACCUACGCCAAUAUAGCAUACGACCUACGGGUGAAAGCAGGGGAUCUUCGGACCUUGCGCGAUUGAAUGAGCCGAUGUCGGAUUAGCUAGUUGGCGGGGUAAAGGCCCACCAAGGGGACGAUCCGUAGCUGGUCGGAGAGGAUGGUCGGCCACACUGGAACUGAGACACGGUCCAGACUCCUACGGGAGGCAGCAGUCGGGAAUAUGGGACAAUGGGCGCAAGCCUGAUCCAGCCAUACCGCGUGUGUGAAGAAGGCCUUCGGGUUGUAAAGCCCUUUUGUUGGGAAAGAAAAGCAGCAGGUUAAUACCCCGCUGUUCUGACGGUACCCAAAGAAUAAGCACCGGCUAACUUCGUG